rnacentral:miRNA from 1 species
AAGCAGAAGGUGUCAGAAAAGUUACCACGGGGAUAACUGGCUUGUGGCGGCCGAGCGUCCAUAGCGACGUCGCUUUUUGAUCCUUCGA